rnacentral:rRNA from 1 species
CCCCUAGUAACUGCGAGUGAAGCGGGAAAAGCUCAAAUUUGAAAUCUGGCGGCCCCGCCGUCCGAGUUGUAAUCUGGAGAAGCGUCUUCCGCGCCGGACCGUGUACAAGUCCCUUGGAACAGGGCGUCGUAGAGGGUGAGAAUCCCGUCUUUGACACGGACCCCCGGUGCUAUGCGAUGCGCUCUCGAAGAGUCGAGUUGUUUGGGAAUGCAGCUCAAAAUGGGUGGUAAAUUCCAUCUAAAGCUAAAUAUUGGCGAGAGACCGAUAGCGAACAAGUACCGUGAGGGAAAGAUGAAAAGCACUUUGGAAAGAGAGUAAAACAGUACGUGAAAUUGUUGAAAGGGAAACGCUUGAAGUCAGUCGCGUCCGCCGGAACUCAGCCUUGCUUCUGCUCGGCGCACUUUCCGGCUCGGACGGGCCAGCAUCGGUUUCGAGCGGCGGACACUGGCGAGGGGAAGGUGGCAGCUCCGGCUGUGUUAUAGCCCCCCGUCGCAAACGCCGCCCGGGACCGAGGAAUCCGGCGCGAGCCUGGGAUGCUGGCGUAAUGGCUUUAAACGACCCGUCUUGAAACACGGACCAAGGAGUGCUACGUGCUCGCGAGUGUUUGGGUGGAAAACCCAGACGCGCAAUGAAAGUGAAAGUCGAUACCCUCCGGGGGCACCGACGCCCGAGCCCGAUGUUUUCGGAGGGCCUUGCGGUAGAGCGAGUGCGUUGCGACCCGAAAGAUGGUGAACUAUUCCUGAGGAGGGCGAAGCCAGAGGAAACUCUGGUGGAGGCUCGUAGCGGUUCUGACGUGCAAAUCGAUCGCAGGACUUGGG